rnacentral:rRNA from 1 species
GCAGCCGCGGUAAUUCCAGCUCCAAUAGCGUAUAUUAAAGUUGUUGCAGUUAAAAAGCUCGUAGUUGAAUUUCGGAAUCGACGGAUUGGUCGCGCCUUCGGUGUGUACUGGUCUUGCCGGUUUCUCCCUUCUGACGAACCACGAUGUCAUUAAUUUGGUGUCGCGGGGAAUCAGGACUGUUACUUUGAAAAAAUUAGAGUGUUUAAAGCAGGCAUUAGCUUGAAUACAUUAGCAUGGAAUAAUGAAAUAGGACGUUUGAUCUUAUUUUGUUGGUUUCUAGGAUCGACGUAAUGAUUAAUAGGGAUAGUUGGGGGCAUUAGUAUUCAAUUGUCAGAGGUGAAAUUCUUGGAUUUAUUGAAGACUAACUACUGCGAAAGCAUUUGCCAAGGAUGUUUUCAUUAAUCAAGAACGAAAGUUAGGGGAUCGAAGACGAUCAGAUACCGUCGUAGUCUUAACCAUAAACUAUGCCGACUAGGGAUCGGAUGAUGUUAAUUUUUUAAUGACUCAUUCGGCGCCUUACGGG